UGAGAGCGGCGUACGGGUGCGGAACACGUGUGCAACCUGCCUUUAUCGGGGGAUAGCCUUUCGAAAGGAAGAUUAAUACCCCAUAAUAUAUUGAAUGGCAUCAUUUGAUAUUGAAAACUCCGGUGGAUAGAGAUGGGCACGCGCAAGAUUAGAUAGUUGGUGAGGUAACGGCUCACCAAGUCAGCGAUCUUUAGGGGGCCUGAGAGGGUGAUCCCCCACACUGGUACUGAGACACGGACCAGACUCCUACGGGAGGCAGCAGUGAGGAAUAUUGGACAAUGGGUGAGAGCCUGAUCCAGCCAUCCCGCGUGAAGGACGACGGCCCUAUGGGUUGUAAACUUCUUUUGUAUAGGGAUAAACCUACCCUCGUGAGGGUAGCUGAAGGUACUAUACGAAUAAGCACCGGCUAACUCCGUGCCAGCAGCCGCGGUAAUACGGAGGGUGCAAGCGUUAUCCGGAUUUAUUGUUUAAAGGGUCCGUAGGCUGAUUUGUAAGUCAGUGGUGAAAUCUCACAGCUUAACUGUGAAACUGCCAUUGAUACUGCAAGUCUUGAGUGUUGUUGAAGUAGCUGGAAUAAGUAGUGUAGCGGUGAAAUGCAUAGAUAUUACUUAGAACACCAAUUGCGAAGGCAGGUUAGCAGGUUACUAAGCAACAACUGACGCUGAUGGACGAAAGCGUGGGGAGCGAACAGGAUUAGAUACCCUGGUAGUCCACGCCGUAAACGAUGCUAACUCGUUUUUGGGCUUUUGGGUUCAGAGACUAAGCGAAAGUGAUAAGUUAGCCACCUGGGGAGUACGAACGCAAGUUUGAAACUCAAAGGAAUUGACGGGGGCCCGCACAAGCGGUGGAUAAUGUGGUUUAAUUCGAUGAUACGCGAGGAACCUUACCAAGGCUUAAAUGGGAAAUGACAGGCUUAGAAAUAGGCUUUUCUUCGGACAUUUUUCAAGGUGCUGCAUGGUUGUCGUCAGCUCGUGCCGUGAGGUGUUAGGUUAAGUCCUGCAACGAGCGCAACCCCUGUCACUAGUUGCCAUCAUUAAGUUGGGGACUCUAGUGAGACUGCCUACGCAAGUAGAGAGGAAGGUGGGGAUGACGUCAAAUCAUCACGGCCCUUACGCCUUGGGCCACACACGUAAUACAAUGGCCGGUACAGAGGGCAGCUACACUGCGAAGUGAUGCAAAUCUCGAAAGCCGGUCUCAGUUCGGAUUGGAGUCUGCAACUCGACUCUAUGAAGCUGGAAUCGCUAGUAAUCGCGCAUCAGCCAUGGCGCGGUGAAUACGUUCCCGGGCCUUGUACACA
rnacentral:rRNA from 1 species